GGAGCGAUCGCCAUUGGCAAAGCAAGCUGUUUGCUAAACAGCUGUGGGAUUCCCACUACAGGUUCGACUCCUGUUCGCUCCG
rnacentral:tRNA from 1 species